UUAACGUUAAAACCGUCUAGUAUAUACAACUUCGUACACUUUCACCGUCAUAGAAACUCCCUAAUUACGGUGUUCUGGAAUUAUAAAUACAAUGUUGUCGUCGUUUACGCCUUCUUUCAUCGAUCCCUCGUAUGACGGGACCCUACCUUUGUGGUCGAGGAGGACUUACAUACUGGACGAACCCACUGCGUAUGUCCCAAAGAACCUACCUUCUGUCACUUUGAGUGUUAGAUGUGUUCCUUUGGUAGUUCGUCGUCAUGCUCCACCAAUUUCGUUCUUGCCGUGGGGGUUUACUGAGGUUAUAGCCAAGAGUACAGUACCUCAUACCAUUGUUCUGUAAGUUCCUACUGUUCGAAAAGGAAAUAGUUCCAAAGAUAGGACACUUCAGUUCGUAGUGUUUGUCCGGCGACGAAAGCGGGUCGGAGUUCCCACGUUAGUUAGUUUCUCUACAACUAUAAGAAAAGUACACCUUCUUCAUACUCGUCAAUUUACAACCUAGUCUCCUCUUCGUCUCCCGAGAGUGGAGAGUCCCUCCAGUUUCUUUGACACAAUGUGUCCUUCGUAGAGCUGUCGUCAUAGCUAAAGUAGCCCUUCGAACAGAAACCUAAACUCCCUGGAAGCCACGAACUCCGAUGAUUUCCGGGACCGGUCGGUAAUCAUCUGAUAACCCUAACAGACUUCUACUACCACGCUCUAAAGCUCAGGGCCACGCCUAGUGAGUGAGUCAUACCGUGCUUUGUGUACUCCCGCAAGUGUUUGUAGACGUUGUUACCGCAGAGGCUCUGGCUCUUCCUCCGGUCGUAGUCGCGAACGCCUGUCGAUGUUGUACCCCUUCACCUCGGGCGGCCAAGAUCCCGUGUCGCGGACUAGCCGACGUGACGUCAUCAUACGUACCCUCGUCAUGGUUUACGAGGUCUCCAAGCAUCGAUCUGGAGUAUAUACCACACACACAUGUAUAUACGUAACCACAUUUGUACGUUCUUUGUUCGGCUGCUACGCGGGGCACACCACAAACCCUACCUUUACGAGCACUAAACAGACAUCAGUCAACUUUCCGUUACUAACAACACGUACGCACGAUACGUAUACUAAGCAUAAACACCUAAAACUGUAGUUAUCAAAUAGGUCUUCUUUAUAACAUU
rnacentral:rRNA from 1 species